GAUGAAGAACGUAGCGAAAUGCGAUAAGUAAUGUGAAUUGCAGAAUUCAGUGAAUCAUCGAAUCUUUGAACGCACAUUGCGCCCGCCAGUAUUCUGGCGGUCAUGCCUGUUCGAGCGUCAUUACAACCCUCAGGCCCCCGGGCCUGGCGUUGGGGAUCGGCGGAGCCCCCCGUGGGCACACGCCGUCCCCCAAAUACAGUGGCGGUCCCGCCGCAGCUUCCAUCGCGUAGUAGCUAACACCUCGCGACUGGAGAGCGGGGCGGCCACGCCGUAAAACACCCAACUCUUCUGAAGUUGACCUCGAAUCAGGUAGGAAUACCCGCUGAACUUAAGCAUAUCAAUAAGCGGAGGA
rnacentral:misc_RNA from 1 species